rnacentral:rRNA from 1 species
UACGAAGGGAGCUAGCGUUGUUCGGAAUCACUGGGCGUAAAGCGCACGUAGGCGGAUGUGCCAGUCAGGGGUGAAAUCCCGGAGCUCAACUUCGGAACUGCCCUUGAUACAGCACGUCUUGAGUCCGAGAGAGGUGAGUGGAAUUCCUAGUGUAGAGGUGAAAUGCGUAGAUAUCGGGAGGAACAUCAGUGGCGAAGGCGGCCCUCUGGUCCAGUACUGACACUCAAGUGCGAAAGCGUGGGGAGCAAACAGGAUUAGAAA